CAGAAGAUAGUUUAAAAAAUAAUAAUUUUGGAGAUUAUAGUUGAUCAAAAGAUUUCUUCUGA
rnacentral:tRNA from 1 species